UCGAUUGAGUUUGAUCCUGGCUCAGGAUGAACGCUGGCGGUAUGCUUAACACAUGCAAGUCGAACGGGAUGCUUCGGCAUCUAGUGGCGGACGGGUGAGUAACGCGUGAGAAUCUGGCUUUAGGUUCGGGACAACAGUGGGAAACUGCUGCUAAUACCGAAUAUGCAGAAAUGUGAAAGAUUAAUUGCCUGAAGAUGAGCUCGCGUCUGAUUAGCUAGUUGGUGAGGUAAAGGCUCACCAAGGCGACGAUCAGUAACUGGUCUGAGAGGAUGACCAGUCACACUGGGACUGAGACACGGCCCAGACUCCUACGGGAGGCAGCAGUGGGGAAUUUUCCGCAAUGGGCGAAAGCCUGACGGAGCAAUACCGCGUGAGGGAGGAAGGCUCUUGGGUUGUAAACCUCUUUUCUCAGGGAAGAACAAAAUGACGGUACCUGAGGAAUAAGCAUCGGCUAACUCCGUGCCAGCAGCCGCGGUAAUACGGAGGAUGCAAGCGUUAUCCGGAAUUAUUGGGCGUAAAGCGUCCGCAGGUGGCAAUUCAAGUCUGCUGUUAAAGGUCAGGGCUUAACCCUGAACAGGCAGUGGAAACUGAAUAGCUAGAGUGCGGUAGGGGCAGAGGGAAUUCCCAGUGUAGCGGUGAAAUGCGUAGAGAUUGGGAAGAACACCGGUGGCGAAAGCGCUCUGCUAGGCCGUAACUGACACUCAUGGGACGAAAGCUAGGGGAGCGAAUGGGGAUUAGAUACCCCAGUAGUCCUAGCCGUAAACGAUGGAUACUAGGCGUUGCU
rnacentral:rRNA from 1 species